GGCAAGUCUAGAUCUGUUGGUCUUGUUUUAAAAGAUCAAAAUAAGCCAAUUUUGCCAUAUAACAUGUAUAAAAAUAUUUAAGGCAAUUUGUCAGAUAUUUUAACUUCAUUUCAUUUUACAUUAUUUCUUUUAGCAUUUUCUAUGGAAGUACAUGUACUUCAAGAAGAAGAAGAAGCUAAGCAACAGAAUGGAAUUCUCUGAGGCAUUGCUUUCUAGAUUAUAUGAUGGAUUCAUAGAUUUUCAUAUUGAUUUAUGUGCAUAUAAAGAGCAGCCGGCAAUUAUUUUAUGACGAGAGGUAUGUACAUGUAAUAAAAAGGAUAACUUUGUUUGAAUAUUUUGUUGUUGUCAGACUAUCUACAUGUUACACAUUUUGAUUUCGUGUAAGCUGUGAAAAAAUAUUUUUUCUACUGGACCAUUUUAUUGAAAAUAGCAUUGGAAGCUCUAUAUACACUCCAUUGCUUGUUCUUUUUAUACGACCACAAACAAUUUUUGGGGAUUGUAUAAUGGUAAGGUGUUGUCGUUAUCUGCAGCGUCCGAAGACACAUUGGUUUCCGAACAAUAACUUAGGUUUAAGUGCAUAAAUCUUUAUGAAUUUUGUUUAGAAGGUCCAAUACCACAAAAAAAGGUUGGGAUGAUUUUGGGGAUGAUGGUCGGAAGUCCCAACCGUUUAGGAAUUAGGGGCCCAAAAUGGGCCAAAAACAAGCAUUUUUCUAGUUUCAGGAUAAUAGCUUGUUUAUAAGUAUUUCAAUUGCUCUGAAAUUGUACCACAAUGUUUAAAACCACAAGUACAAGGUUUUGAUUCAGUUUAGGGGUCAUGGGGCCAAAGUUUAGGAAUAAGGGGCCAAAAACAAGCAUUUUUCUAGUUUCCAGACAAUAACUUGUGUGUAAUUGUAUAGAUCUCUCUGAAAUUGUACCACAAUGUUCCAUAUAACAAAGGGAAGGCUGGGAUAGAGUUUUGGGUUAGUUGCCCAAAAUAUGCAGGAAUUAGGGGCCAAAAAGAAGCAUGUUUCUAGUUUCCAGACAAUAACUUGUGUUUAAGUGACUCAUAGGCGGAUUAAGGAUUAAGGUGAGGAGGCCCAGGCAGCCCUGCCCCCUCCGCCCUUUUCCCCCAGCCCUGCCCCCCCCCCCUCUUUUCUGGGAAAAUUUUGGUUGAUUAUAUAGGGAAACACUGAAGCAUGUCCGGAUCAGUCCCCCUCUUAGGCAGUCACUGGGCCCCCACAUAUGAAAAUUUCUGGAUCCGCCAUCGAGUGUAUGGAUCUCUCUGAAAUUGUACUACAAGGUUCCAUACUACAAAAGAAAGGAUGGGAUUGAGUUUUAGGGUUAUUGCUCCAAGGGGGAUUUCAAUAAGUUGAGGGGGGGGGGAUAGUUUGUUUACAACUUUUUUAAGGGAUUCCUUUUUUUUUCAAAAUUUUUCAAAUUUUUGAUUUUUGAAAAGUUUCAUGCAAUAAUGUUCAGCAAAGUAAGAUCUACAAUGGUCAACAUAACCAAAUUUUCAAUGGACCCUUAAGCAGUUGCCCUUCAUAGCAAAUUUUUAACAACUUUCUCGUAAAUUUUGCAAUCUUUUCCUCUUUUGUGUUUUUGAGCAAGAACUAAAGAAGAUAAAGAGAAACUUAACAGGCUAUUAAUAAAAUAUGUUUACAGGAGUUUUGCCUCUUGGAAAUAGAUAUUGAAUUUGUAAGGAAUUGCAUCCCACACAUGUCUACUUUUCUUGUAGAUUAUUUUUUUAUAAUUUAUGAAAAAUGUUAAAAAAAAAGAACAUACUUAUUUGUUGUGGUUAUUGCUUUUUGACAGCAAAUUUUAUAUAUCCAUCAAUUGGUGAGGUACAUUGAAACACUGUUCUUUUAUUAAAUGCAUGAAGUAUACAGAUGGUAACACAAAUGACAACAUGUUAUGUUCAUGAGUUUAAUAUUUAUAUAUAAAUGUUGUAUUUCAACAAUUUUGCCUAUGAAACAGCAAAUCAAGAUUUAAUAAACCAGAGUUAAUGCCUAAAUGGAUUUUUUUAAACUUAGGCAGAAGAAUAGUUUUUUUAUAUAUACAUGAUAUAUGAAAAGUUCAUGCUAUACAUAUAUUUGUUGAUUGUUUAUAAAUUGUUUCCAUUAACUCAAAAGUAAAAGUAUUAAUUAGUGAGCAUCAGUUCAUACUACAUGUACAUUUAGUUUUUGUCUGGACUUUUGGAUUAACUUAAAAUUUAUAAUUUUAGCUUGUUACCAAAUGAAAGGAAAGUGCAGUAUUAGAAUCACUGAGGUACAUGCUACGGUGUACAUGUACAUGUAGGUGCAGAUGUCCUGUAAAAAAAAACUGGUAUCAAAGUAAGUUCAUAUGUAGAAUUGUAUUUGAUUUAAAUAAUUUAAUGUUAUCUAUUCAAAACUUUUUCAAGUGUAAUUGUACAUGUAUACAGUUGUUUAUUUUUCUGUCAUUUUGAUGUCAAGUAUGCAUCGAGGAAUCCUUACCAGUCUCAUCUGCUUCUGCUGCACACGCAUGAGAAAUGAGAAGCUCAAAUAAUUAUAGCAUUUGCAUCACAGACCGUAUAUUAUGAAUUGUAUAUUUAACAUGAUCAAAAGUUGUUCUUGUCUUGAAUAUAUACAUUAAAUAUUUGCCACUGUACCUUAAAAUAAACAAGAAAAAUUAAUUUGAUAAUUUUCUUUUAACCGUAGAGCGUUUUUAAAGAACUAGAAUAUUGAUAUAAGGAGAUGGCGUAUGAUCCUCAAUGUGACAACUAUCAAUUAAAAAACUAAAGAACGAAGAUAAAACAUUUACUGGUCACUGUUCAGCAAUGAACAAUAAUCAAAAUCCAUACCAUAAAGUAACCUUCAACUUGUUUAAGAAUGCAAAAUGUGAACCAUUGAAAAAUUAAAACUACAUAUAUUGUAUGGCAGACAUUAAUUAAUAUGUUUAUAGAAUGAUUGUAAGGUGUUUAUAUUUGUUUUGCAGGUGCAAUUCUUGCAAGAUUUUUAUAAAAACUUAUACUAUACUUUUAAUAUCAGCAAUAUCUUGGUCAAGUUCACUACUUUUGACCGAUUGACUAUUUUCAAAAGAGUUAUGCCCCUUGAAAAUAUUAAAUAAAGGAAAAUGGCCUUGUAAGCGCUCUCAUCGGUUCAAUUUUUUAUAAAACACAUAGUAUACUGUAAGUAAUGCCCUUGAAGGUCUGUUUGAAAUAUUUCGUAUACAAGAAAAAGAAGUUUUUUUCCAAGCACACUUUUUUAUUUAUAAUUUUAUUCAAGUGCCUUUUUUUAAUUAUUGCCCCUUGCUAAAUAAAAUAUGUGCAACUCAGUGGACAUUGAAACUCUGUUCUGUUAUUUUUAUUUUCAGGAACUGAAAAGUAAAGAAACAGAACCAAAGACGAUUCAUUUUAAAUUAAUACAAUAUUGAACUCAAAAGUCAAUCUAGUUGUCUUUCUUAAUUAUAGAUAUAAGAAGAUGUGGUAUUAGUGCCAAUGAAACAACUCUCCAUCCAGGUCAUAAUUUGUAAAAGUAAACCAUUACAGGUCAAAAUACAGUUUUCAAAACAGAGCUCACACGAAACAGCAAGCCAUUAAGGGCCACAAAAGCGGCAGCAUACACUAGCACCUGUAAUAGCUAGCAGUGUAGACAAUUACAUAUCAAUGUGUAUGGUGAUAUAGCAAUAGAAAUAUCACAUCCAUCAGAGGGAAAUAGAAUAUAGACAAUAGAAAUAUCACAUACAUCAGAGGGAAAUAGAAUAUAGACUGUCACAAUAGAAAUAUCACA
rnacentral:lncRNA from 1 species